GGAACACCCCCGGGAAACUGGGGCUAAUUCCCAAUAGGCGAAGAACUCUGGAAUGAGUCUCCACCAGAAAGGGCAUCUGCGCUAUGCUCGCAGGUGUCGCCCAAGGAUGGGGCCGCGGCCGAUCAGGUUGUUGGUGAGGUAAUGGCUCACCAAGCCUUUUACCGGUGCGGGCCGUGGGAGCGGGAGCCCGGAGAUGGGCACUGAGACAAGGGCCCAGGCCCUACGGGGCGCAGCAGUCGCGAAAACUUUGCAAUAAGCGAAAGCUUGACAGGGCUAUCCCGAGUGCCAUCCGCUGAGGAAGGCUUUUACCCAGUCUAGAACGCUGGGGGAAUAAGGAGAGGGCAAGUCUGGUGUCAGCCGCCGCGGUAAUACCAGCUCUCCGAGUGGUGUGGAUGUUUAUUGGGCCUAAAGCAUCCGUAGCUGGCUAGGUUAGUCCCCUGUUAAAUCCACCGAAUUAAUCGUUGGAUUGCGGGGGAUACUGCUUGGCUAGGGGACGAGAGAGGCAGACGGUAUUUCCGGGGUAGGGGUGAAAUCCUAUAAUCCCGGGAGGACCACCAGUGGCGAAGGCUGUCUGCUAGAACGCGCCCGACGGUGAGGGAUGAAAGCUGGGGGAGCGAACCGGAUUAGAUACCCGGGUAGUCCCAGCUGUAAACGAUGCAGGCUAGGUGUUUGGACGGCCACGUGCCGUUCUAGUGCCGCAGGGAAGCUGUUAAGCCUGCCGCCUGGGGAGUACGAUCGCAAGAUUGAAACUUAAAGGAAUUGGCGGGGGAGCA
rnacentral:rRNA from 1 species